UGUGUGGACAGCGUCUGUAGAUGUGAGGGUGAAGGGCACCAACAUCUCCCACCAUCAGGAGGACACCAGCCAGCUACAGGACAACAGCAACAUCAAGGACACUAAGAUGAUGUUCCACCCGAGAGUGUUGCUUAUUGAGUUGUCAUUUUAUUCACUUAUCUGUUCAAAUUAAUGCCUAAUUAAUUAUCUUUU